AAUAUUGCACAAUGGGCGAAAGCCUGAUGCAGCAACUCCGCGUGAGUGAAGAAGGCCCUUGGGUUGUAAAGCUCUUUAGACUGGAAAGAAGUGCACGUACAUAAACAAUGUGCGGGUGUGACGGUACCAGUAGAAUAAGCACCGGCUAAUUUCGUGCCAGCAGCCGCGGUAAUACGAAAGGUGCAAGCGUUACUCGGAAUCACUGGGCGUAAAGCGCGCGUAGGCGGUCUCGUAUGUCGAUUGUGAAAGCCCUGGGCUCAACCUAGGAACUGCAGUCGAAACUGCGAGACUUGAAUGUUGGAGAGGGUGGGGGAAUACCUAGUGGAGAAGUGAAAUUCGUAGAGAUUAGGUGGAACACCAGAGGCGAAGGCGCCUGCCUGGCCAAACAUUGACGCUGAGGCGCGAAAGCGUGGGGAGCAAAC
rnacentral:rRNA from 1 species